CCAAGUCCAGCAUUGCACCACUCAACGCCUAAAUUGGCCGCUCAGCGGUUUGCCUCUAAUCGUAAGGCCGCUCAGCGGUUUGCCUCUAAUCGCACUGGACACUCAGCAGUACCGCUUGGGCAAGAAACAGUGAUUUCCCCUUCGUCUCUGGCGCUCAGCGCUGGAAUUUGGCAUUGGACGGUGGACUUAACUCUUCUUUUCUUCCUUUUUUCCUCUUUUCUUAAGUCUAAGUCCUCCCUACUUUACUUCCAUCUUCAAUUCUCAUCAAAACCCUGCAAAACAAUGCAAAAACAAGGAUAAUAUCUCUAAAAACAACUUUUGACUCUCAUGUGACUCAACUUGGUGUUUUACUUGAUUGUAAGCUCAUUCUAAG
rnacentral:lncRNA from 1 species